AUUGAACGCUGGCGGCAUGCUUUACACAUGCAAGUCGAACGGCAGCGCGGGCUUCGGCCUGGCGGCGAGUGGCGAACGGGUGAGUAAUACAUCGGAACGUGCCCAGUCGUGGGGGAUAGCUCGGCGAAAGCCGGAUUAAUACCGCAUACGACCUGAGGGUGAAAGCGGGGGAUCUUCGGACCUCGCGCUAUUGGAGCGGCCGAUGGCAGAUUAGCUAGUUGGUGGGGUAAAGGCCUACCAAGGCGACGAUCUGUAGCUGGUCUGAGAGGACGACCAGCCACACUGGGACUGAGACACGGCCCAGACUCCUACGGGAGGCAGCAGUGGGGAAUUUUGGACGAUGGGCGAAAGCCUGAUCCAGCAAUGCCGCGUGUGUGAUGAAGGCCUUCGGGUUGUAAAGCACUUUUGGCGGGAACGAAAAGGACUGUGCCAAUACCACGGUUCGAUGACGGUACCCGCAGAAUAAGCACCGGCUAACUACGUG
rnacentral:rRNA from 1 species